ACGGGGGGGGCAAGCGUUGUUCGGAAUUACUGGGCGUAAAGGGCUCGUAGGCGGCCAACUAAGUCGGAUGUGAAAUCCCCAGGCUCAACUUGGGAACUGCAUCCGAUACUGGAUGGCUUGAAUUCGGGAGAGGGAUGCAGAAUUCCGGGUGUAGUGGUGGAAUGCGUAGAGAUCCGGAGGAACACCAGCGGCGAAGGCGGCAUCCUGGACUGGUCCUGACACUCAGGAGCGAAAGCGUGGGGAGCGAUCCGGA
rnacentral:rRNA from 1 species